rnacentral:rRNA from 1 species
CAGCCGCCGCGGGAAUACAGAGGGUGCAAGCGUUAAUCGGAAUUACUGGGCGUAAAGCGCGCGUAGGCGGCUUCUUAAGUCGGAUGUGAAAUCCCUGAGCUUAACUUAGGAAUUGCAUUCGAUACUGGGAAGCUAGAGUAUGGGAGAGGAUGGUAGAAUUCCAGGUGUAGCGGUGAAAUGCGUAGAGAUCUGGAGGAAUACCGAUGGCGAAGGCAGCCAUCUGGCCUAAUACUGACGCUGAGGUACGAAAGCAUGGGGAGCAAACAGGAUUAGAUACCCGAGUAGUCCCUGUCUCUUAUAC